rnacentral:rRNA from 1 species
CCUACGGGAGGCAGCAGUGGGGAAUAUUGCGCAAUGGGCGAAAGCCUGACGCAGCGACGCCGCGUGAGGGAUGAAGGUCUUCGGAUCGUAAACCUCUGUCAGCAGGGAAGAACGGUCACUGUGCUAAUCAGCAGUGAAUUGACGGUACCUGCAAAGGAAGCACCGGCUAACUCCGUGCCAGCAGCCGCGGUAAUACGGAGGGUGCGAGCGUUAAUCGGAAUUACUGGGCGUAAAGCGCUCGUAGGUGGUAUGUCAAGUCAAGGGUGAAAUCCCCGCGCUCAACGUGGGAACUGCCUUUGAAACGGGCAAACUGGAGUGUGUGAGAGGAUAGUGGAAUUCCAGGUGUAGGAGUGAAAGCCGUAGAUAUCUGGAGGAACAUCAGUGGCGAAGGCGACUAUCUGGCACAUAACUGACGCUGAGGAGCGAAAGCGUGGGUAGCAAACAGGAUUAGAUACCCUAGUAGUC